CCAAGGGGUUCACGGCGCAAUGGCAAAGGUCAUUGGUUGGGGGCUCCCACCCAGGGUUCAAAUCCUGGGUGCGGCACUUUAUUCUGGAUUUAUUUUAGAAUUUUCCGGCGCUAUGCAUUAAGUGGUAGGCGACGUGCCCGUCGACAGCGAUUUGCCGACUCAGUCCUUCGAAGGUGCUCAUAGGGGUAGGGUUUGCGUACGUGUGUUCAUAGGGGUGAGUGUGCGUGCAUGUUGAGUGUCUGCGUUGUAGUGUGUAAUCUCAAAAAAAAAGUUUUUUUGAGACACAUGCAUCUACCGCCAUUCUCUUGGUUUCUGUUUU
rnacentral:lncRNA from 1 species